rnacentral:rRNA from 1 species
GAUGAACGCUGGCGGCGUGCCUAAUACAUGCAAGUCGAGCGAACGGACGAGAAGCUUGCUUCUCUGAUGUUAGCGGCGGACGGGUGAGUAACACGUGGAUAACCUACCUAUAAGACUGGGAUAACUUCGGGAAACCGGAGCUAAUACCGGAUGAUAUUUUGAACCGCAUGGUUCAAUAGUGAAAGACGGUCUUGCUGUCACUUAUAGAUGGAUCCGCGCUGCAUUAGCUAGUUGGUAAGGUAACGGCUUACCAAGGCGACGAUGCGUAGCCGACCUGAGAGGGUGAUCGGCCACACUGGAACUGAGACACGGUCCAGACUCCUACGGGAGGCAGCAGUAGGGAAUCUUCCGCAAUGGGCGAAAGCCUGACGGAGCAACGCCGCGUGAGUGAUGAAGGUCUUCGGAUCGUAAAACUCUGUUAUUAGGGAAGAACAUAUGUGUAAGUAACUGUGCACAUCUUGACGGUACCUAAUCAGAAAGCCACGGCUAACUACGUG